rnacentral:rRNA from 1 species
AUUGAACGCUGGCGGCAGGCUUAACACAUGCAAGUCGAGCGGAGAUGAGGUGCUUGCACCUUAUCUUAGCGGCGGACGGGUGAGUAAUGCUUGGGUAUCUGCCUAUUAGUGGGGGACAACAUUCCGAAAGGAAUGCUAAUACCGCAUACGUCCUACGGGAGAAAGCAGGGGAUCUUCGGACCUUGCGCUAAUAGAUGAGCCUAAGUCGGAUUAGCUAGUUGGUGGGGUAAAGGCCUACCAAGGCGACGAUCUGUAGCGGGUCUGAGAGGAUGAUCCGCAACACUGGGACUGAGACACGGCCCAGACUCCUACGGGAGGCAGCAGUGGGGAAUAUUGGACAAUGGGGGAAACCCUGAUCCAGCCAUGCCGCGUGUGUGAAGAAGGCCUUAUGGUUGUAAAGCACUUUAAGCGAGGAGGAGGCUACUGAGACUAAUACUCUUGGAUAGUGGACGUUACUCGCAGAAUAAGCACCGGCUAACUCUGUGCCAGCAGCCGCCGUAACAC